AUUGAACGCUGGCGGCAGGCUUAACACAUGCAAGUCGAGCGGAGAUGAGGUGCUUGCACCUUAUCUUAGCGGCGGAUGGGUGAGUAAUGCUUAGGAAUCUGCCUAUUAGUGGGGGACAACAUUCCGAAAGGAAUGCUAAUACCGCAUACGUCCUACGGGAGAAAGCAGGGGAUCUUCGGACCUUGCGCUAAUAGAUGAGCCUAAGUCGGAUUAGCUAGUUGGUGGGGUAAAGGCCUACCAAGGCGACGAUCUGUAGCGGGUCUGAGAGGAUGAUCCGCCACACUGGGACUGAGACACGGCCCAGACUCCUACGGGAGGCAGCAGUGGGGAAUAUUGGACAAUGGGGGGAACCCUGAUCCAGCCAUGCCGCGUGUGGGAAGAAGGCCUUAUGGUUGUAAAGCACUUUAAGCGAGGAGGAGGCUACUGAGACUAAUACUCUUGGAUAGUGGACGUUACUCGCAGAAUAAGCACCGGCUAACUCUGUGCCAGCAGCCGCCGUAAGAC
rnacentral:rRNA from 1 species